rnacentral:lncRNA from 1 species
GAGAGAGAAGGAAGAGAGGUUCUCCUUGGAGAUAUUUGCUAGAGGAAUGAGUUAUAUAUAUAUAAGUCGGUGGGGAUGAUCGGAGAAAUUGAGAAUAGGUUUCUUCGGUGUGGCAGCUUCUUCUUCUUCUUGUCCAUCAAAUAGCGGAGACAGGUGGGUGCAUCGAGAGAGAAAGAAGAAAUAAGAUCUCGCUGCGAGAGAGAGAGAGAAGAUAUCCCCCGUGAGCGUGAAGGAGGAUGGAGGAGUCUAUGGCUUUUCCGUCAGCUGAAAAUUUACAGUGCUGGAAGCAAUUGUCCCCCACGCAUCCAGUUUUCUGACAUUGAUCCACACAUGACCUGGGAACCAAUCAGAGCAUAUUAACACUUCUUUUUUUGUUCUUUAUACUGAAGCAAAAGCCCAAAAACUUUAAAAGCAGACAGUCUAAGUAUUCCAUAGUCAUAAAAGCUACUUAGACAAAACCAUAAGACCUCUGUAACAAGUUCUAGUCCUUUUUGUCAUAUCCCACCCUCUUCCCACUACUAAGCUCAAGACAAGAUUAAGCGGUUACAUGGCCGACAAAACAAAGAACAACAUAGAGAAGGAGAGAGAGAAGCUUUCCACUAAACAAGAAAAAAGGAAAGACCGAACUCUAUCAAACCACCACUUGCAGUCUUUUUAAAGAAAAAAAUCUUUACCAACAAAAACAAUGACCCUACAGUAACAAAGCUUUCCAUCCUCAAACGUGUUUCAACUCUAACCACAAGAGUUGGAAAAUUAUCUGGGAAAAGUCAAACCACAUAGUGUUCUAAUCCCUUUCCCAACACCACUCCUCUCGUGUGGCUCUAAUCCCCCCCACCACUAAGCCAUUUGAAAAAUCAUCCAUACCUAACAAAACUAAAAAUCUGGACCCUUUAUUUUUUCCUUAAAAGAGAUCAAAUUUUCACAAAACAGAGAUAGUUAGUAUUGAUUACAAACACGUAAUAGUCAAAAGCAGUAACAAGUCAGUCCAGCAAUCACUGAAUCUUUAACGGUCGACUCUACCAGUAGUAAUCCAAAAAAAGAAACUAGCUCUGCCUUUCGAUACUUGUAAACUCUAAGGAAGGGAAGUCAAACGAACUCAGAUAUGAAAAGCAGACAACAUUCAUAAGAAUAUAACUUAAAGAAAAGGUUCUUUACUUGUAAAGAGGAUCAGCAUCUCCUUCGCUCGCUUCCAGUGUUGAAACAAGACACCACGACACCACCGCUACAAUAAGCAGAACCCUUCUCAGAUUUCGCGCCAUCUGUUUAUCAAACGGUUAGAGAGAAAGAGAGAGUAGAGUGAAGAAGAGAGAGAAGGAAGAGAGGUUCUCCUUGGAGAUAUUUGCUAGAGGAAUGAGUUAUAUAUAUAUAAGUCGGUGGGGAUGAUCGGAGAAAUUGAGAAUAGGUUUCUUCGGUGUGGCAGCUUCUUCUUCUUCUUGUCCAUCAAAUAGCGGAGACAGGUGGGUGCAUCGAGAGAGAAAGAAGAAAUAAGAUCUCGCUGCGAGAGAGAGAGAGAAGAUAUCCCCCGUGAGCGUGAAGGAGGAUGGAGGAGAAGAGCUUUGGCGAAACAGAGUAAGACGCGUGGAACUCUGUAAUAAAAAGAUUUAUAUCACAGACGUCGAUCGAUACACCUCCACUUCUCUUCUUCCCCCUCACUUUUUGUCUUUUCAUUAUAAACAAAAUAUUAUUUUCCUUUUCUUUUAUUAUUCCUCAUACUAAAACAUUUUUACAUUAACGCG